AGUGAACGCUAGCGGUGCGCCUAACACAUACAAGUCGCGCGAACCUUCGGGUUAGCGGCGAACGGCUGCGUAACACGUUGGAACCUGCCCCAGAUUCAGGGAUAACUCGCCGAAAGGCGGGCUAAUACCGGAUGGUCUCGCAAGAGUAAAGCUUCGGCGAUCUGGGAGGGGCCUGCGGCCUAUCAGCUUGUUGGUAAGGUAACGGCUUACCAAGGCUAUGACGGGUAACUGGUCUGAGAGGACGACCAGUCAGAAUGGGACUGAGACACGGCCCAUACUCCUACGGGAGGCAGCAGUGAGGAAUCUUCCGCAAUGGGCGAAAGCCUGACGGAGCGACACCGCGUGAAGGAUGACACCCCUUGGGGCGUAAACUUCUGUUCUGAGGGACGAAAUUUUUGACGGUACCUCAGGAGAAAGCACCGGCUAAUUCCGUGCCAGCAGCCGCGGUAAGACGGAAGGUGCAAGCGUUACUCGGAAUCACUGGGCGUAAAGCGUCCGCAGGCGUCUUCUUAAGUCCCCCAUUAAAACGCAGAGCUCAACUCUGCGGUGUGUGGGAAACUGAGAAGAUUGAGUCAUGCAGAGGCAUCCGGAAUGCCAUGUGUAGGGGUAAUAUCCGUUGAUCCAUGGUAGAACGCCAAAAGCGAAGGCAGGAUGCUUGGCAUGUACUGACGCUCAGGGACGAAAGCGUGGGGAGCGAAGGGGAUUAGAUACCCCCGUAGUCCACGCCCUAAACGAUGCGUGCUCGGUGUUGGGAUUUUCAAUCUAUCUCAGUGCCUCAGCUAACGCGGUAAGCACGCCGCCUGAGUAGUACGGCCGCAAGGCUAAAACUUAAAGGAAUAGACGGGGACCCACACAAGCGGUGGAGCAUGGGGUUUAAUUCGAUGAUAAGCGGAGCACCUCACCCAGGUUUGACAUCCCGAGAACUCUUCCGAGAGGAAGAAGUGCCGCAAGGAACUCGGUGACAGGUGGUGCACGGUCGUCGUCAGCUCGUGCCUUGAGGUGUACUGUUAAGUCAGCAAACGAGCGCAACCCUCAUCCUAUGUUGCUUUUUCAUAGGAGACUGCCGCCUCCAAGGCGGAGGAAGGUGAGGACGACGUCAGAUCUGCGUGUCCCUUAUACCUGGGGCAACACCCGUGCUACAAUGGCCGGUACAGAGGGCAGCGAACCCGCGAGGGGGAGCCAAUCCCAAAAAACCGGUCUCAGUUCGGAUUGAAGUCUGCAACUCGACUUCAUGAAGUUGGAAUCGCUAGUAACCGUGAAUCAGCUACGUCACGGUGAAUAUGUUCCUGGGUCUUGUACUCACCGCCCGUCAACUCAUGAAAGGCAGGGGCGCCCGAAGGACGGUUACUCUUCGGAGGCCGUACCACGGUGAAACUGCUGAUUGGGAGU
rnacentral:rRNA from 1 species